rnacentral:rRNA from 1 species
GUCCAGACUCCUACGGGAGGCAGCAGUGAGGAAUAUUGGUCAAUGGGAGAGAUCCUGAACCAGCCAAGCCGCGUGAGGGAAGACGGCCCUAUGGGUUGUAAACCUCUUUUGUCGGAGAACAAAACCCGGGACGUGUCCCGGACUGCGUGUAUCCGAAGAAAAAGCAUCGGCUAACUCCGUGCCAGCAGCCGCGGUAAUACGGAGGGCGCGAGCGUUAAUCGGAAUUACUGGGCGUAAAGCGCGCGUAGGCUGUUGUGUAAGUUGGGGGUGAAAUCCCACGGCUCAACCGUGGAACUGCCCUUGAUACUGCGCGACUUGAAUCCGGGAGAGGGUGGCGGAAUUCCAGGUGUAGGAGUGAAAUCCGUAGAUAUCUGGAGGAACAUCAGUGGCGAAGGCGGCCACCUGGACCGGUAUUGACGUUGAGGCUCGAAAGCGUGGGGAGCAAACAGGAUUAGAUACCCGGGUAAG